rnacentral:rRNA from 1 species
UACGAAGGGGGCUAGCGUUGUUCGGAAUUACUGGGCGUAAAGCGCGCGCAGGCGGCCUUUCAAGUCGGUGGUGAAAUCCCAGAGCUCAACUCUGGAAUUGCCAUCGAAACUGUAAGGCUUGGGUACGGGAGAGGUGAGUGGAAUUCCGAGUGUAGAGGUGAAAUUCGUAGAUAUUAGGAAGAACACCAGUGGCGAAGGCGGCUCACUGGCCCGGUACUGACGCUGAGGCGCGAAAGCGUGGGGAGCAAACAGG